GACGAACGCUGGCGGCGUGCUUAACACAUGCAAGUCGAACGGAAAGGCCCCUUUGGGGGUACUCGAGUGGCGAACGGGUGAGUAACACGUGAGUAACCUGCCCUUGACUUCGGGAUAACUUCUGGAAACUGGGGCUAAUACCGGAUAGGAAUCCUUGCUGCAUGGUGGGGGUUGGAAAGCUUCGGCGGUUUUGGAUGGACUCGCGGCUUAUCAGCUUGUUGGUGGGGUAGUGGCUUACCAAGGCUUUGACGGGUAGCCGGCCUGAGAGGGCGACCGGCCACAUUGGGACUGAGAUACGGCCCAGACUCCUACGGGAGGCAGCAGUGGGGAAUAUUGCACAAUGGGCGGAAGCCUGAUGCAGCAACGCCGCGUGCGGGAUGACGGCCUUCGGGUUGUAAACCGCUUUCAGCAGGGGCGAAGCUUUUGUGACGGUACCUGCAGAAGAAGCACCGGCUAACUACGUG
rnacentral:rRNA from 1 species